rnacentral:tRNA from 1 species
GGAGGGGUCGCAUAGUCCGGCCGAGUGCGUGCGACUCGAAAUCGCAUGAGCAGCAAUGCUCCGUGGGUUCAAAUCCCACCCCCUCCG